AGUAAAGUCAGCUAAAUUAAGCUCUUGGGCCCAUACCCCAAAUAUGUUGGUUAAACUCCUUCCUUUACUA
rnacentral:tRNA from 3 species